UACGUAGGAGGCAAGCGUUGUCCGGAAUUACUGGGCGUAAAGCGCGUGUAGGUGGUGGGACAAGUCUGCUGUGAAAGCGCCUGGCUUAACCGGGCGAGGUCGGCGGAAACUGUCCGACUCGAGGACGGUAGAGGGGGGUGGAAUUCCCGGUGUAGUGGUGAAAUGCGUAGAGAUCGGGAGGAACACCUGUGGCGAAGGCGGCCCCCUGGGCCGGCCCUGACACUGAGACGCGAAGGCGUGGAGGAGCGAACGGG
rnacentral:rRNA from 1 species